AUUGAACGCUGGCGGCAGGCUUAACACAUGUAAGUCGAGCGGGGAAAGGUAGCUUGCUACCUGACCUAGCGGCGGACGGGUGAGUAAUGCUUAGGAAUCUGCCUAUUAGUGGGGGACAACAUCUCGAAAGGGAUGCUAAUACCGCAUACGUCCUACGGGAGAAAGCAGGGGACCUUCGGGCCUUGCGCUAAUAGAUGAGCCUAAGUCGGAUUAGCUAGUUGAUGGGGUAAAGGCCUACCAAGGCGACGAUCUGUAGCGGGUCUGAGAGGAUGAUCCGCCACACUGGGACUGAGACACGGCCCAGACUCCUACGGGAGGCAGCAGUGGGGAAUAUUGGACAAUGGGGGGAACCCUGAUCCAGCCAUGCCGCGUGUGUGAAGAAGGCCUUUUGGUUGUAAAGCACUUUAAGCGAGGAGGAGGCUACCGAGAUUAAUACUCUUGGAUAGUGGACGUUACUCGCAGAAUAAGCACCGGCUAACUCUGUGCCUGCCGCCGCCGUAA
rnacentral:rRNA from 1 species